rnacentral:rRNA from 1 species
UACGUAGGGGGCAAGCGUUGUCCGGAUUUACUGGGCGUAAAGAGCGUGUAGGCGGCCAAGCAGGUCCGUUGUGAAAACUGGAGGCUUAACCUCCAGACGUCGACGGAAACCGCGUGGCUAGAGUCCGGAAGAGGAGAGUGGAAUUCCUGGUGUAGCGGUGAGAUGCGCAGAUAUCAGGAAGAACACCAAUGGCGAAGGCAGCUCUCUGGGACGGUACUGACGCUGAGACGCGAAAGCGUGGGGAGCGAACAGG